GAGCAGCUCCUGCUCCAGCACGGACACAGCUGCUGGAGCACUUGUGGCAGAGAGAUUUCAGGGAGCACACAGAUGGCCUCAUCAUUACCAGAAUGGAAACGCCUCGACACCAGAGCUAAGAGAAGAACAGCACCUUUCAGUAGAGAUGCUAACAUAAUAUAAGCUUUUCAUAUUUUUCCCUUAAAUUUUUCUAGAAACAAUAUUUUGUCUGGGAAAGAAAAAAAAAAAAAGGAUGAUGUCAUCUGUUUCCAUUUUUAAUUCACAGAAAUAAUAUGGAAAGGAGAUGCUUAUUAUGAGAAAAAAUACAUCCAUAGAAAACCCAAUUUUCCAGUACAUGGCAGUUCUGUUGUAAAAUUUCCGAGGAGACUUCAUCUGCUCAGCUCAAGUUCUUCUACAGGUUUCUUAAUGCCUCUGACACGUCACUUCAUUUCUCUAUCCCAGAGGCAUAUUUGAAAAUAGACCUGAGAUCUUCACCAUGUUGGGCCUGCUGGACAGAAUGCAUCUAGAGGUGUCAUCACGAAAAAGUCAAGACUGGCCAGACAUUGUUCAUUAUUAAUCUCCAACUGCUCUUCACUCCUUUUGUUUCAAGCCAAAAGGAAGGUGUUAUCCACAAGCAGCUUCGGAAUCACUUUUGGAAACAUCUCUUCUCUAUUAUACUGUACCACCAGAAUUUGUUGAAAAUGUCAAAUUGUACUGCUAUACAUCAACUCUAUAAAAAAACACAAUAGCACAGUCCGUAGUCCUAUCACAUUUAUGUCGGAGGAAUGCCGACUAACCUUGGCACUGAGCAAUAAAUUAAUAAUAUGUUCCACUACUAGGCUGCACUUCGAAGUGGGACUGAGUGGCUGGCAGCAGUGAAGUGGGAAGUAAACAUAUUAGAAUCAAAUACAAUUAACUGCAGGACUGGACUCACUACUAGGAGCAGAAGCAUUUCCAGGCAGAAACACAAGACAUGGUCUGUGUAUGGGGCUGUGUAUUUUGUCAUUAUGAUUAUGAGAUAUCUUAUGGCUAGUCUCACAGUGAAGUGUCCUCUCUAGAGAUGGAGAGGAAAGAAUUCUGGAUGAGGAACCCAACAGAAGUGUUAAACCAGUAACUGGUCUUCAAUUGUAGAGAUACCUGUACUAGCCUUACUGCUUUCUUUGGCGCGUUCUGUGGGUGCUUGAGGGACAUGUUGCACGUUGCUCUUAGUGCUGCAUUGUUAGCUUUCCUCAAGGCAAGGUAGAGGAGCUGCAGCACAUGGAAGCCACACAGUGAACAUACACACUGCAUUUGCCAUAUCCUGAGUUCAUAUCAGAUGCAAGUGAAAUGGUGCACAGGAUUGGACACACAACAUGCCGUCUACCAUAUUUUGAUGUGAAACUCUCGCAGUGUACUUCACAGUUUUUGUUCUGCAUCACUGACAGCAUCAACAUGUAGCAGUUCCUCUUCCCCGCUACCCACUGAAUACAUACUAAAAUAAUAUUUGCAAUUUGCUUCUAUAUAAGCGUAUCUUUCUGCUAUUCGAACAGCACAGUGCAGACCCAUACAGCCAAGGCUAAUGCACUCAGAAACAACCAUGACAAGUCACAGCCUUUGUAUGCCUAAAUGACAGACACUCUCAGCCCUCUAAACUACUACAGGAAGAAAAGCCCUUGAAAAUACUUUUGAAAGUCAAGGCCGUAUUGUGCACAGCAUAUAAAUUAAUAAUUAUUAGACCAUGCAUUAGCUUAAAUUCUCAGGUGAAACUAAACAAUGAAAUGUAAUGUAGAUGGAUAUUUUUCCUUGCUUGUACUGUGUUCUACUUACUAAAAAAGUCUGAGAACCUUUAAAAUGCUUUAAAAGGUAAAAUGACAUGAUGCAUGUGAGAAAGAGACAGAAUAUCCACUCCAAUAAUGCAAAAUAAAGCCAAAUCCUUCACUUAGAAUCUUGAACUAAAUUAAACUGGAUUUGCUGUUCAAAAUUCAGCUACUGAUGCUUUUCUACUUUCCUUCUUUCUCCAACUCUUACUCUUACUGACUGCAUAUUGGAGCAGAAAUGCAUCAAGAAGAAACACCUAACUGGGGCAUCGCCCUCCUCAGUGAAGCUGUGACAAACUGGGAACAAGCUUUUUAUUAAAAUAAGAAUCUUUAAUCUGCUAAUUUCAACACUUCAGAUUGGCAACCAGGUUUCUGCUGCCUCCCAC
rnacentral:lncRNA from 1 species